AGCAAGCUAAGGGCAACGAGAAGCGCGUGGGCAUGAUCAAGAGGUACCGCGCGGUGGUGGAGGGCGAGCUCGACAAAAUCUGCCAUGAGAUCCUGGACCUGCUCGACAAGUACCUGGUGCCCAGCGCCUCUACCACCGAGGCCGCUGUCUUCUACCUGAAGAUGAAGGCCGAUUACCACCGCUACCUGUCUGAGUACAAGACGGACGAGGCCAAAGCGGCGGCCGCGGAGUUGACGCUGGCCGCCUACAAGGUCGCCCAGGAGAAGGCCGACGAGCUGCCCACGACCAACCCCAUCAGGUACACAAGGUUUGGGGCCGGAGCGCGCGCCUGGAGCGGCAUGCAUGCAAGUUUCUGACCUUGUUUCGGUGCCGAAUGUCGCGAAUGCAGGCUGGGUCUGGCGCUCAACUUCUCGGUCUUCUAC
rnacentral:lncRNA from 1 species